GACGAACGCUGGCGGCGUGCCUAAUACAUGCAAGUUGAGCGCUGAAGGUUGGUACUUGUCCCGACUGGAUGAGCAGCGAACGGGUGAGUAACGCGUGGGGAAUCUGCCUUUGAGCGGGGGACAACAUUUGGAAACGAAUGCUAAUACCGCAUAAAAACUUUAAACACAAGUUUUAAGUUUGAAAGAUGCAAUUGCAUCACUCAAAGAUGAUCCCGCGUUGUAUUAGCUAGUUGGUGAGGUAAAGGCUCACCAAGGCGAUGAUACAUAGCCGACCUGAGAGGGUGAUCGGCCACAUUGGGACUGAGACACGGCCCAAACUCCUACGGGAGGCAGCAGUAGGGAAUCUUCGGCAAUGGACGAAAGUCUGACCGAGCAACGCCGCGUGAGUGAAGAAGGUUUUCGGAUCGUAAAACUCUGUUGGUAGAGAAGAACGUUGGCGAGAGUGGAAAGCUCAUCAAGUGACGGUAACUACCCAGAAAGGGACGGCUAACUACGUG
rnacentral:rRNA from 1 species